rnacentral:rRNA from 1 species
CCUACGGGGGGCUGCAGUAGGGAAUAUUGCUCAAUGGGGGAAACCCUGAAGCAGCAACGUCGCGUGGAGGAUGAAGGUUUUCGGAUUGUAAACUCCUUUUGUUAGAGAAGAUAAUGACGGUAUCUAACGAAUAAGCACCGGCUAACUCCGUGCCAGCAGCCGCGGUAAUACGGAGGGUGCAAGCGUUACUCGGAAUCACUGGGCGUAAAGGGCGCGUAGGCGGGAUAGCAAGUCAGAUGUGAAAUCCUAUGGCUUAACCAUAGAACUGCAUUUGAAACUGGUAUUCUAGAGUAUGGGAGAGGUAGGUGGAAUUCUUGGUGUAGGGGUAAAAUCCGUAGAGAUCAAGAGGAAUACUCAUUGCGAAGGCGACCUGCUAGAACAUAACUGACGCUGAUGCGCGAAAGCGUGGGGAGCAAACAGGAUUAGAUACCCGGGUAGUC